ACACGGGGGGCGCAAGCGUUAUGCGGAAUUAUUGGGCGUAAAGGGCGUGUAGGCGGUUUUAUCGGUCAGAUGUGAAAGCCCAGGGCUCAACCCUGGACGUGCAUUUGAAACAGUAAGACUUGAGUACGGUAGAGGAAAGCGGAAUUCCUGGUGUAGAGGUGAAAUUCGUAGAUAUCAGGAGGAACACCGAUGGCGAAGGCAGCUUUCUGGACCGAAACUGACGCUGAUGCGCGAAGGCGUGGGUAGCGAACAGGAUUAGAAACCCCAGUAGUCC
rnacentral:rRNA from 1 species